rnacentral:rRNA from 1 species
CAGGAUGAACGCUAGCUACAGGCUUAACACAUGCAAGUCGAGGGGCAGCAUGAGAUUAGCUUGCUAAUCUUGAUGGCGACCGGCGCACGGGUGCGUAACACGUAUCCAAUCUACCCAUGGCUCGGGGAUAGCCUUUCGAAAGAAAGAUUAAUACCCGAUGGUCUGCGAUUGAGACAUCUCGAUUGCAGUAAAGACUUGUCGGCGAUGGAUGGGGAUGCGUCCGAUUAGCUAGUUGGCGGGGUAACGGCCCACCAAGGCGACGAUCGGUAGGGGUUCUGAGAGGAAGGUCCCCCACACUGGAACUGAGACACGGUCCAGACUCCUACGGGAGGCAGCAGUGAGGAAUAUUGGUCAAUGGGCGAUGGCCUGAACCAGCCAAGUAGCGUGAGGGACGACGGCCCUACGGGUUGUAAACCUCUUUUGUAUGGGAAUAAAGUGAGGCACGUGUGCCUUUUUGUAUGUACCUUACGAAUAAGCAUCGGCUAAUUCCGUGCCAGCAGCAGC